rnacentral:rRNA from 1 species
UACGAAGGGUGCAAACGUUGCUCGGAAUCAUUGGGCGUAAAGCGCACGUAGGCGGCCUCAAAAGUCGGAUGUGAAAUCCCGUGGCUCAACCAUGGACGUGCAUUCGAAACUGCGAGGCUUGAGUAUGGAAGAGGGUCGCGGAAUUCCCGGUGUAGAGGUGAAAUUCGUAGAUAUCGGGAGGAACACCAGUGGCGAAGGCGGCUCACUGGACCGGUAUUGACGCUGAGGUGCGAAAGCGUGGGGAGCAAACAGG